GUUUAGCUCAGUCGGUUAGAGCAUCGUGCUAAUAACGCGAGGGUCGCAGGUUCGAGCCCUGCAUCGACCA
rnacentral:tRNA from 1 species